rnacentral:lncRNA from 1 species
AUAUUCUUCAUAGACCUGCUAUGUAUAUCCUGCCAUUGCUAAAUCAGAGGACAUACCAAAAGUUAUUUUCGACGUCUACAAUGAUACAAGCCUUGAGAGAAUAGCUUUAUCAGUUCGAACCUUCAAUUAGCUGUGAGAAUGAUCCCAAGUCCCAGCUGAUCCAACUCAUACUUCUUGAGAUACAACAAUGAAGUCAUACCCAGGCUGCAAUGCUUUUUGGCUUCUAUUACUCCUUUAACUAGUAACUAUCGUUACAUAUAUAUGCCUGCUGUUAGUAUGAGUAGCUUUCCAGUUCAGAGACGUUGACCGCAUGAAUCAUAUGCUUCACUUAACACUGCCCCGAAAGUUAACCAAGUAAUAUUGACCACAGUAACAGCAGCCCCAACCAGUUGCACAGAUGAGAAUGUCCACCGAGAUAAAGAAACCUGUGGUGUACCCCAAAAAAAAAAAAUCAAUUAAAAACACUCUAGAAGCCAAAUUACGCCAUACCAAAGAACUCAAACGUAUGUACAUAUAUAUAGACAAGAGUGGUAGAACUAUUAAAACAGCAACCUAUUCAUCAGUAACUAAUCACAGAAGUUCUCCAACUAUUUUCUGGUUUUAGAACUCUUUCUUGAAUAAUACUCUAGACAGUAAUACUGGAUUUUUAUUUACUCCAUAUGUUCUGGUUGGAUGACCUUUACCCAAAAAUUGAAGCAAACAUCGGUGUUAGAAAGGUGAGAGAACUUAUUUUUGUCAAGCUACCUGAAACAUAUAAGUAAUUCAAAUCAAAAUUUUGAAUCACUUUAGUAGGUUAUAGCAGAAUUAAUUCACGAGAAGAGGAAGAAAGAUA